UCUCGCUCGCUGGUCAGUUGCUCAGCUGCCAUCUUAGUUACCAGAUCGACUGCUGAGGUAUCGCUGUGACAACCCUAUGUUCAGGACUCACAGCAGGACUAGUUUCUCAGCAAUGCUGCCGUGAGAAAUGUCCCUCAAGCAUGUGGCCAAGCCCUCUGCAGAUGACACCACUUAAUUCGAGCUUUUGAAGGCCACUGUCAUCAAUGAUGCAAAUACCAGGAAGCACAUAAACAUUUGGGAUUCCUUUCAAUAACCAAAGGCAAAACAUUGUAAAGAGAAGGUGAAUUGGAGGCAUGGUUUUGCCCAGUGAGAACCAGUGAGAGAAGGAGCCAUCAGGAAAAUCUUUCACUUUUCUUAGAAAAAGGUAAGGCACCC